CAGUCGCCACGGAAUACGAAGGGUGCAAGCGUUAAUCGGAAUUACUGGGCGUAAAGCGUGCGUAGGUGGUGGUUUAAGUCCGUUGUGAAAGCCCUGGGCUCAACCUGGGAAUUGCAGUGGAUACUGGGUCACUAGAGUGUGGUAGAGGAUAGUGGAAUUUCCGGUGUAGCAGUGAAAUGCGUAGAGAUCGGAAGGAACAUCUGUGGCGAAGGCGACUCUCUGGCCCGGAUCUGACGCUGGGGCGCGAAAGCGUGGGGAGCAAACAGGAUUAGAUACCCCAGUAGUCCCUGUCUCUUAUACA
rnacentral:rRNA from 1 species